rnacentral:rRNA from 1 species
UACAGAGGUCUCAACCGUUGUUCGGAUUCAUUGGGCGUAAAGGGUGCGUAGGCGGUCGUGCAAGUCGGAUGUGAAAUCUCAGGGCUCAACCCUGAAACUGCAUUCGAUACUGCGCGGCUAGAGUGCUGGAGGGGAGACUGGAAUUUACGGUGUAGCAGUGAAAUGCGUAGAUAUCGUAAGGAAGACCAGUGGCGAAGGCGAAUCUCUGGACAGUUACUGACACUGAGGCACGAAGGCCAGGGGAGCAAACAGG